rnacentral:rRNA from 1 species
UGGGGAAUAUUGGACAAUGGGCGCAAGCCUGAUCCAGCCAUGCCGCGUGAGUGAUGAAGGCCCUAGGGUUGUAAAGCUCUUUCACCGGUGAAGAUAAUGACGGUAACCGGAGAAGAAGCCCCGGCUAACUUCGUGCCAGCAGCCGCGGUAAUACGAAGGGGGCUAGCGUUGUUCGGAUUUACUGGGCGUAAAGCGCACGUAGGCGGACUUUUAAGUCAGGGGUGAAAUCCCGGGGCUCAACCCCGGAACUGCCUUUGAUACUGGAAGUCUUGAGUAUGGUAGAGGUGAGUGGAAUUCCGAGUGUAGAGGUGAAAUUCGUAGAUAUUCGGAGGAACACCAGUGGCGAAGGCGGCUCACUGGACCAUUACUGACGCUGAGGUGCGAAAGCGUGGUGAGCAAACAGG